rnacentral:rRNA from 1 species
AGGGUUUGAUCAUGGCUCAGGAUGAACGCUAGCGGCAGGCUUAACACAUGCAAGUCGAGGGGUAGAUUUUCUUCGGAGAAUUGAGACCGGCGCACGGGUGCGUAACGCGUAUGCAACUUACCUUAUACUGGGGGGAUAGCCCGGAGAAAUUCGGAUUAAUACCGCAUAUGCUCACAGUUUCGCAUGGAACAGUGAGGAAAGAUUUAUCGGUAUAAGAUAGGCAUGCGUCCUAUUAGCUUGUUGGUGAGGUAACGGCUCACCAAGGCGAUGAUAGGUAGGGGGCCUGAGAGGGUGGUCCCCCACACUGGUACUGAGACACGGACCAGACUCCUACGGGAGGCAGCAGUGAGGAAUAUUGGGCAAUGGAGGCAACUCUGACCCAGCUAUGCCGCGUGAAGGAUGAAGGUCCUCUGGAUUGUAAACUUCUUUUGUAUGGGGAUAAACUUUUCUACGUGUAGAAAACUGAAGGUACCAUACGAAUAAGGAUCGGCUAACUCCGUGCCAGCAGCCGCGGUAAUACGGAGGAUCCAAGCGUUAUCCGGAUUUCUUGGGUUUAAAGGGUCCA